GUAUAACACUCCGAGCGAAAUGAUCUAAGGGCACAGCCUAUGAUCAUGAGCCGUCAGCUUUUUCCAUAAAAAAUGGAAAAAGACUGGCCGGGGCCAUGAAGGAAACCGAUUGACCUUCCCUUUUUGAAAAGGAGCGAAAGCAUAAC
rnacentral:ncRNA from 1 species